rnacentral:lncRNA from 1 species
UUCAAAGGUGGCUUAUUCAAUAAUGCGAAGUAUUUGAUACGUUCAUUAAUUAUCUUGGGCACGUGUGGACUUAAUUUCAAGAAUAGUUCCCUUCGAAUGCAUGCUGCUAAAAAUCAUGGUGGCUAUAAAUAGCUAGGAGCGGUGGAUAGGAGGAGAGCAUAACCAUUUUAGUCACAUAGAUUUCCAAGAUGAACUCGAAGGCCUUUCUUAUCGCAUGCAUUCUCUUAGCUACCAUCGUCUUCUCUCCCCUAUCCACUUGCACUGCUCGAGAUUUGGCCGAGCGAGGUGAGAUUUUAUUUCCAUCAUUAACUUCAGAAAAGCAGUUCAUUUUGUGUGCGUGUGCGUGUAGUCUCUUUGUGUAUUGCAGCAUUAAUUAACUUAAGAUAAGCAUUUCAUGUUAUAUAUUAUUUAAUUAAUCUGUCGUGGGCUAUCUUAUAUAUAUAUAAAAAGAUGAUUCUGCUAUAAUAUCAGAUUAUGUCAACAUGAAUUUGCUAUAACAUGCGUGAAUCUUGCAGACGCAAGUGGAUCAAACAACCCCCAUAAACCAGUGUUCGGUUGCGGAAGGGGUAAGCGAUAUUGCGUACCUAAAACACCACCACCAUGCAGAAAUCUUUACAAGCGUAAUUGUUAGGAGCAAGCAAAGUUGAGUGCUUAAAAGUAUGGAGAGCUUCUGCUGUCUUUAUCAGUAUGUAAAAUGAUCAGAACUAUUUAUGUGAGAAAAAUAAAUAAAGUUCUCCAGUGGAUUCGAAGAAGCAAGCAAGGUUGUGUGCUUAAAAAGUAUGGACGGCUCAUAGUGUCUUUAUCAAUAUGUAAAAUGUUAUUUUGAUAUGGGAACUAUUUAUGUGAGAAAAAUAAAUUAAGUUCUUAGUGAGUUAAUUUCAUGGUAUCUUUUGAGGUUUUUAUUUCGGUCAUUACGCAGUCCUCUUAUUUGUAAUCUCCCAUGAGAAUUAUUAAUGAAGUUUAAUUAUGCCAAACAAUAUGUUUAAUUACUUGUUUUUCCUCAAAUAUCAAGUUGAAAUCAAAUAUAUAUAUAUAUAUAUAUAUAUAUAUAUAUAUAUAUAUAUAUUAAAAUAAAAUAAAACUUAACCAGGGAGAGCAUAGCUUUAGCUACAUAGAUUGUAGGUCAAGCCUCAGUUUAACUACAAGGGAGAAAAAUAAGGAAUAAACAGCCCAACUAAUGAAACAACAACACAAAAAUCCAAACAAAAUCAGAAUUUAAACGGAUCAAGUCAAAAUACAUUCAUAAUAGCUAUAUAGAUCCGCACCUGUAUACUAGAAUAAAAAAUUCAGAUUUCUGAUCGAAGCUGCAGCAAAUAAAUUAGAACAAAUGUCAUAUAUUUCCAAGAUGAAGGCCUUUCUUAUCGCAUGCAUUCUCUUAGCUACCAUCGUCUUCUCUCCCCUAUCCACAUGCAGUGCUCGAGAAUUGGCCGAGCGAGGUGAGAUUUUAUUUCCAUCAUUAACUUCAGAAGAACAGUUCAUUUUGUGCGUGCGUGCGUGUAGUCUCUUUGUGUAUUGCAAACAAUUUCAUGUUUUGUAUGUAUUUAUUGUUUAAUUAUUCUGUCGUUGGCUAUCUUAUAAUAAUUAAAAAAAAAAUGAUUCUGCUAUAAGAUCGUCGAUGGAAAGACAAUUGCAUUAGCGAUUCCAUCAAUGAUUAUUAACCACAACAAUUAGAUAGUUCAUAAUCAACCACAACCACGUAUUUACACAUCUACAAAAAUAAUAAAACUUAUACAAAUUUCAUGAUUCAUUUAAAUAUGGCUCACAACAAUGAGAUAAACAAAAAUUACCAUAACCCAUCUUUACCUUACAUACUAUAUAUGUUUGUCUUAAUAAUUAGAACACUAUAGCAUUUAACAGUUUUACCGACGGACUGCAUCAGUCGGUGUGAGAUUAACAUUUCGUCGGUAAUUUUUUUACCAACUAAAUCCCCGACAGAAUCCGUCCGUCAGCAUAGUUUUCGUCGGUAAAUUCCACAUUCUGUCUCUAAUUCUAUCGCUAAAAAAAUGAAAUGCCGAUGGUUUACAGACGGAACAUGCGUGCCAAAAAAAAUUCUCAUUGGAAAUAUACCGACAAAAAUAUUCUGUCGGUGAUUGUGGCAUAUGAAGUAAAUAUUUUUUAACUCUCGGUGAAAUGCCGACAGACUGCAUCCAUAUGUAGAGACGUCGAUGAUUAUGGCAUUUGCAGUAAAUAUUUUGCAACUCUCGGUAAAAUACCGACGAAAUAUUUCCGUCUGUUAAGAUGUUGGUAAUUGUGGCAUUUCCAAUAAAUAUUUUUCAACUCUCUGUAAAAUACUGACGGAAUGUUUCCGUCUGGAAAUCCAUCGGUGAUAUUUUUUAUUUUUUUAAAAAAAAUAUAUAGAAUAAAUAAUAUAAAUUAAUAGUAAAAAAAACCAAUUAUGCAAAUAAAAUUGUAUUAAACAUCAUAAAAAAUAAAAAUAAAAAUAAAGUUAAAUAAUAUUCAUCCAAAUAUUCAUAACAAAUUUAAUGUGUUUCCAAAAAAAAAAAUUAAACUAGAACAAUGGCGAAGCAGGAUGAGGAGGAGGUGGUGGAGGCUGGUCGUUGCCGGGACGAAAUGGCCAAAAAGAAGGCGCACAUGUAUCAUCCUUUUGUGAUGUAAUUUUCAUGAGCAUUUAGCGGAGUUGUUCAUAAUUCACCGAGAGUUGCUCGUAUUUUUCGGUGAGAUGAGCUGUGUGUUGUUGCUAGGCCACGAUCUCCUUAGAUUGGGUGCUCGAUACUGAUUGAGAGCUCCCAACAGUUGAGAUAUUAUGGGCCGCUCACAAGUUCUCGGCCGUAGUGUUGGAGAGCCUGUACACCUGAUUUUUAUCGGGUCUACCAAACGAUCUUACCUCCAUCCACAAAUUCGGAUCGAAAUCCAGAUGGGUCGAAGGAUCGUUCCCAUAUCUCUCCCUCAACCGGCUAUUAUAGGUCUCCUGAAAAUAAAAAAAGAAAUCAUCAUAUUCAAUUCAAGAAACUGUUGCACCUUCUUUUGGCGGUCUUCACUUCGCACGUAUGUCUCUAGAAAUAGCUCCAUUGGGCUCGACUCACGUCCAAUAGACAUAGCCUGUAAGAAAAAAAAAUUAAUUAAGUAACAACAAAUUAAUUAACAAUAUAUUUCAUUUAUAUUAAUAUUACCAUCUGUUUUGCAUGUACAGCAAACAAAACGGAGCCGCCGUGUGAACCGGACUGUCGGUUCCGGUACCAGACUAUAUACAUUAAUAAACGUUGUCAUCAUUCAGGUGAUGCCUCUGCUAGAGAGGCAAUUAUACAUCAAGAAAUACUUGUAACGGGUGGUGAAUGAUUAAAUGAACUUUAGAAUUCUUUGCUUUGAUUACGUUCAAAAUGGCCCAAAGACCACAACUUGCUAUUAAUGGGUUGGGCUGAUGUGAAGUCAUGAUGGCCCAACUUAAAUUUACUCGAUAUAAAGAAACAUUCACAUAUAUUUAAAAUUCAAAUUUAAUAAUAAACGAUAAAGUAAACACGACUAUAUAUACAUUUUUAAUUUUUUUUUCAUAAGCAAUUGAUGUUGAUGUUGCUACUACAAAGACAAUUAUAAGUCAAUAAAUAGUUUUUUUUUAUUAACAUAGGUGUUCGGGCCAGCUUGCGCGUACCUCGACUGAUUCCACGGGCCUUGAAGUUAACGACCAUGUAAGCCUCUAGUGGCCCUGAGGUUUGUGGGACUCAAACUGGUGACCUCUAGGGAGCAUCGUGUGAACCGCUUAGACGUCACGUGCUCAGUAUAUUACGGUCAUAUUUCCCUUGGGAUGUUUGGCGGUUUGAAAUCCCUCCAAACUGUCACGUCAUUUCAGCCUUGUAGACCGUUAUCUCUCGUGUAUUUUUUGGCCUUUUUUGUGCUAUAUACCAAAAAUCACGCAACCUACUUUCAUGGUGAUAAAUUAGAUUUUAAAACAAAAAUGUUUUUUUAAAAAAUAUCAUAUUGUUUUCGAUGUUACCUAGUUGUUGCGUGAUUUUCCCACACCCUCCUCACAACAUUUUCAUGUACAUUUUUGAAAUUAAUCUAACAAAAUGGAGUUUGUUACUAAAUUAGUGAUUAAUGAUUUGCUGUGAAUCAAAUGAUUUUUUUUAAUGAUUUGUUAUAUCUAUAACAAAUGUCAAGAUGUUGUUUUUGUGUUAUUUAGGAAAACAAAUAUUGUGGAGUGGACUUGACAUGACCAAUCCACUUUACAAAUCUAAAUAACCGGUGAAAUAUAAUUUGGAUAAAAUAAUUGAAGAUAUUAUUUUGUAUAUAAAUAUUAAAACAACAACAUAUUGAAUUGACUCGGCUUAACUUGCUAAAUUCGUGACUCGAGUCAUAAGGCUAUGAUAGCUCCAUUGAAAAUAAUUUAAAAUAAAUUAUAAAACUCAAUUCUCAAUCAACGUCAUGUUAUAGGAUAUAAUUGAAAAUAAAAUUAAUUAAAAAAAAGACAAAAUAAAAAAUCACAGUCAACCUAAAUUAACUCAUCAAAUUCACGACCCGAGUCAUGAGACUAAAAUAACCUCAUAGAUAGCAAAUCAAAUCAAAUUACGAAGUCUAAUUCUUAAUCAACUCAAUGUUGAAAGAUGAAAUUUAAAAAAAAAUCAUUUAAAAAAUGAUUCAAAAAGUCAACUCAGGUUAAUUUAUCAAGUUCGUAACCCUAAUUAUAAGAUUAUAAUAACCUCUUAGAAAGAAAAUCAAAAUAAAUUAUAAAUUAUAUUCCCAAUAAAUCUAAUAUUAAAAGAUAAAAUUAAAAAAAAUCAAAUACCGUUUCCUUCUCUUUUAGUUUUUAUUAAGUAUUUUCGUCCAUAUACAUGUGGAUGGAAUUGCACUCAUAUUUUUCAUAGCUGGCUUAUUCAAUAAUGCACAGUAUUGGACACGUUCAUUAUUUGUUUUCUCUUAAUUAUGCGUAUGCGAACCUCCAUUAUUAGUUCACAUGCAAUGCUGCUAAGCAUGCUGGUGGCUAUAAAUAAGAGUGGCAGAGAAGAGGGAAUAACCAUCGUAAACACAAAUUAAUAUUUCCAACAUGAAGGCCUUUCUUAUCAUAGGCAUUCUUUUAGCUACCGUUGUCUUCUCUCCCUUGUCCACUUCCACUGCUCAGGAAUAUAAUUAAGGCCCAUGAAGGUGAACCCACCAUUUCUAUCUGCUAUCGAUUCCCCUGAUCUUCUGAUUUAAGAGAUAAGCAUGUUCGUAGUUCAUGUUUUUGUAAAUAUAUAUGUUAAGUAGUUCAUAUCUGUACUGUGUUUAUGUAUAAUACUGCAUCUAUGCCUGCUUUUGAAUGCAAGCAAAUAUUUGUUGCCAAAACUUUAUAUAUUUAAAUAGAUAUCUUACGAUCUUAUCUUAAUUGUAUACAAAACCUUGCUUCAAGAUUACCCAGCCAUGUUCAUGCUGCUCUCUUUUUACUUCCUUUGAUUUUUGGUCAUCGGGUUCCAUUUUCUUAUUUUCACUCCCUUUUUUUUGUACAUAUAAAUAUUACUUAAUUAAUAUUUACUGAGUUUGUGAUAAUUCUCAUAACACGUUAAACAUACACGUAAGUAAAUCUUGCAGGUUCAUAUGUGACAAAUGACCCUUCCAAGAUACCAUACCAAUGCCGUAGCCCUAAUGAUCCAAAAUGCAUCCCAAGGCGAAUCCCCGUACGGCCUUGUAAUCCUUACAAGCGAUAUUGUAAAAUCCCAUGAGAAUGGAAGUAAAGUUAAUUUUGUGCUUAAAAGUGUCGACCGACAGCUAGUAGUAUCUUUACUAACAUGGUAAUUUGAUAUGAGAACAUUUUAUGUAAGAAAAAUAAACUAUGAAGUUCUCAUAACAUGUCAACAACCAUAUAUUUGUUUUUUUUUUUUUUUGAGAGAUACAAUAUUUCAUUAAACGGCAGAGGCUGGCGGGGGAAAUAUAAUAAUACAACAACCAUAUAUUUGUAUCAUGAGAUUUUAAUUUCUGUCGAGUUUUAUCUCAUGAAAUUAACCAAAGCCACCUGAGAUCCCUUCUAGCGACCUCUUUUAACCAAAAUCAAAGAAUGUGUGUAGCUCGGUCAACCUGAAAUCCCAUCCGGCAAUUCCCUCGAACCAAAGCCACCUGAGAUCCCUUCUAGCGAUCUCUUUUAACAAAAACCAAAGAAUGUGUGUAGCUCGGUCAACCUGAAAUCCCAUCUAGCGAUUCCCUUUAACCAAAGCUAUAUAAGAUCCCUUCUGGCGACUUCUUUUAACCAAAACCAAAGAAAAAGUGUAAAAAAUGGUCUCAUUGUAAUGGGUGACCUACCCAGAUGGAAAGAAUGUGAAAAGCGGCCUCGUUAUAAUGGGUGACCUACCUAGAUGGAAAAAAAUAUGAAGUGCGGUCUCAUUGUAAUGGGUGACCUACCCAGAUAAAAAGAAUGUGAAGUGUGGUCUCAUUGUAAUAGGUGACCUACCUAGAUGGAAAAAAUAUGAAGUAUGGUCUCAUUGUAAUGGGUGACCUACCCAAAUGAAAAGUGUUGCUACCCAAUUUUUGACCCAUGUUUUGAUAAAUUUUCAGAAAAGUUCAAAAAUAGCGAAAAACAUUGAAAAUCCAAAAAAAUACGUUUUUAAUACAUUUGCAUCGUUUUUAGCAUUUUUAGCAUCGUCUCAAAAGAAUUUAAAUUUUCAAAGAUGUUUGGAACGCGUUCAACUUUUAACGCAUUAUUUUUAAAAUCAUUGAUUUUCCUCAUUGAGCCGAUGUUGAUAUUGCUCGUUUUCAAAAAAUACAAAAAAAAUAAGAAAAAUCAAAAUUUACAAAAAGAAAGAAGUUGAGGGACCAAGUUUGAAGACCUAGCAACAUAUUUGCCUAUAAAUAGAAGUUUUCAACACUUGCAUAAGGGUGGGGGGGCAAUUUUGACAACAUCAUAAAAAAUACAAAAAAACCUAACCCUAAACCCAUCUUUUUUUUCAAGAGGAGCCGCCCCCCACGUUUUUGGUUUUCCUCUUCAGCCGGUUCCCCAUCUUCUUCUCCUGGCCGGCCAAAGACUUCCUCUCCCCCCACAAACCAAGCCACCGCAGCUCUCCUUUUCCUUCCUUCUCCCACACCGCCGGUCAUCUCCCAUAGACGGCCACUUCCCCUCCAUUCAUCAACACAAAGCAGCCGUCUCCCUUCACUGCCUCCACACUGAUCCCCUCUUCUUCUCUCUCGGCCAACCACCGUUCUUCCCUCUCUCGGCCAACCCAGCUCCAGCAGCAAGACUUACGAACACGGCCGCGCCCACAGACCCGAUCUCCUCAGCACCGCCACCGGGCUCAUCCUUCAACCGACCUCCAACGGCGGCCCGAACACAACGGCAGCAAAAGACAGCCCUCCUCCAGCCGUUCCCCCAGCUUCAGCAGCCGGCAGAAUCGCACUGCCAGUAACCCAUCCUCAGCAAACCCCUUCAGCAACCGGUCCUCCUCCGAUUCAAACCAGUGCAGCAGAUCUAGACCGAGAUCCAGCCGCCAUCAGCGCCGACGAUGUCCAACAACCAGAUGUGCUACAGGGAUGAACUCUUGGGCAACAAACCGUGACAGACCCAAAGGAAUCGGAUCUAAGAAAAAUAAAACUAAAAUCGAUUGUGUUGUGCGUUUUCUGUUAUUGCAGGUAGUGGUGUCCCUCACAGCCGGCAGGGAAGGGAAGAGAAGAAGGAGGCGAUCCCGAUCCACCAGCUUGCUGGUCUUCGCCGGCGGCGGCGCGUGGACCCACGCGCCGCCGCUGUUCAGACGACACCAAUGCUGUGCAGCAUUGUUACCGAGGAUUUCUUUGUGUUUUUCUUGUAACUUUCAGAUGAUGUGUAUAUUUAGAUAUUAUUGUAUUUGAUUUAUUUUGAAUUUUUGUUAUUUGUUUUACAUGUAAAAAUUGUGUAUGUAAAAAACAAAAGAAGAAAAGGAAAGGAAAAGAAAAGGAAAAUAUAGUGAAAGUGUAUGGGUGUGUUUGUAUUUGUUUUAUGGAUGUUUUAUUUUUAUUUAAGAUAAAAUUGUAAAGAUUAAAGAAGAAUUUAAUAUUUUGAUUGGAUCACGGUCAAGAAUUAUUAACUUAUACGUAAGUUGUAUUUCUAAUAUCCGAUGAAAAGACAAUUAUUAAAAUUUCUUUAACACAUCAAAGUCACGAAGCAGCUUACCUCAGGUAGGGUGCGUUAGGGGUGCUAAUACCUUCCCUAACCACAACCAGUCCCUUACCCGUGAAUCUCUGACAAGACCAGUACAUCCGGGUUUCCUAGUAACCCUCAAUUAAAUACUAGGUGGCGACUCCAACGAACCAAUCAAAGCAAAACGAACAACGAAAAAAAUCGCCAGCCGAUGCCGCGCGGAAUUUGUGACGUGCGACAGAAUGGCGACUCCACUGGUGAAGGUACUGUUUCUGACAUUAUUGGACUAAGCUUUGUGUAUUUGAUAUGUUUAAAUUUUUGCAAUUUUAUCUCUUUUUUUCAAUAUUUGUUUCCAUGCAUUUUUAGAAUUGUUUCAUGCAUCACCUGUAUUUAUUUUUGAAAGCACACACGAGCUUUUAAGUUAGGUGGUGAAUUAGCGAUCUGCCCUAUGACUAUUGGUCAGGGUUCAGAUGCGUGAAAAACCGAACUCAUAUCUGAGUGCCUGCUUGGUAAUGGUGGGUAUAUGUACCUUAACUAUUUCUUGCAACGCCCCUAUACUGUCUUUACAAAGAUCGUCACUAGGCAGAUAUGAGACCCUUUUGAGACCAGGUAGAAAACCUACCCAUGUUCACAUAAUGAAUAGAACCUGCCUUUAGGAUGUGUGCUCCGUAUACAUUGUUUUGCAUAAGGGCAAACCCUUCUUGAAGCAUCUUGAACUCAAGACUUGUGGGUGACCCAAUGGCCGUAACUCAGAAAAUUUUCAUUGUAGAGUUUGGGCAAGAAUCAAGAUUCUUGUUUCAUCAUACAAGAGUUACGACCAUAUGUCACCUCUCGAAGGGCGAGUUCAUCAUAUAGUUUGCAUGUUCAUACAUUUAUCAUGCAUGUACCGGGAGGAAAAAUAGGUUCCCCCAUCUGAGCUUUGCUACACCUGAUUGAACAAAGAUGAUGGGAAAUGAAGAAAGGGGUCAAAGAGAAGCUCAUCAUCAAAGGUGAAGUAGCUAGACCCAGAUCUCCCUGAACAAGUGUUGAGCAUCAAAUGGAAAGGGAAUGUCUGCACAAUCUUUUGUGGGAACACUGCUUGUCCACGUCCAAAUGAAGCUGCACCUCUCCAUUUCAGUCCUGAACAACAACAGCAAUGUCUUCAGUCAGCAACUAAUGACAACUUUUGUUCUUGGUCAGCUGCCCUGUUAAUUGUUCAUCGCCUCCACAUCUUUCAAUGGCACCAAAUAACUGCUAGCCUUCUGUGCAUGGUGUGUUAGCCUUAUUUGAAGUUACCCCAACUGUGAGCUCAAUUCCAGUUCAACAGCACAAGAUGUAAAAUAAAAAAAAAUAAAAAAAUAAAAAAUAAAAAAAAACAAGAAAAAAAACCCCGAAAAAAAAAACAUGAUUCGACCCUGAACUUCUACGUUGCAGAGCUCUCUCUGUAGAGAUUUCUUUGUGGAUCUGCUAGUGGGGAACACAAGAGGGGGUGUAGUAGUUUCAUAUGCUUCAAAACUUUCUCUCACCAGUGGCACCAGCAAAACAUUGUAGUAGGCAGAAGGGUGAGACCUGGUCUGAAAAUGUUAGCAGUCAUCAAACUUCAAUGUGGCAGAGCUCUCUCUACAAAAAUCCGUUUAUGGCUCUGCAAGUUGGGAAUGCAAGAGGGGAUUUAUUAGGUGCAUAUGCUAUAAAAAUCUCUCAUCAGUUUCAGCACAAAGACAUUGUGGUAGGUUGAAGAGCCAAACCUGGUCUGAAAAACAUGAACAGACAUCAAACUUCUACGUUGCAGAGCUCUCUCUGUAGAGAUUCGUUUGUGGCUCUGCAAGUGGGAAAUGCAAGAGGGAAUGUAGUAUUUUCAUAUGCUACAAAAAAAUUUGCCCCAUCAAUUUCAGAACUGAAACACUGGAGUAGGCCGAAGAGUCAGACCUAGUCGGAAAAUGUGAGCAGUCGUCGAACUUUGACGUGGCAGAGCUCUCUCUACAAAAACCCGUUUAUGGCUCUGCAAGUGGGGAAUUCAAGAGGGGAUGUAGUAGUUUCAAAAGAUAUGAAAAUUUACCCCACCAGUUUCAGCAUCGAAACACUGUAGUAGGCAGAAAAGCCAGACUUGAGCUAGAAAACAGGAGCAAAUAUAGAACUUCAUCGUGGCAGAGCUCUCUCUACAGAAAUUUGUUUGUAGAUCUGCAAGUGGGGAAUGCAAGAAGGGAUGCAGUAGUUUCUGAUCAUCUAUAAUUUUCUCUCAUCGGUGUUAGCUUGAAAAUGCAAAAGUAGGGAAAAGAGACAGGCCUCGGCUGAAAAAUAGAAAGAAGAUUGAAACUUCAACAGAGCAGAGCUCCCUCUACAGGUGUCUGUUUGCUGCACCGUCAGUGAGGAAUCAAAGAGGAGACAAAGGAGUUUUAGAUUCAUCAGGUUCUCUUCCAGUUUUGAUAAUGUGUGAUUCCACACGUCGGUAAUGGCGAUGCCACAUGUUUCUAGGCACUGCCAAGAUUACCAAGCUGUUGAAAGGUUUCCGACAACCCUCAACCAACCACAACAACAUUGAAAUAUUGACAUGAAGUUGUGUGGAUUGCCAAAAGAAUUGAGCUAGCUAUCAAGAGAGGAAAGAUUGAAGGAUCUACCAUGGAUUCCAUAACAGUGAUGAGAGUUGAAUCAGAAGAUGACUCUCAAUUGAGAAACCUCAGUCAUUUUGCCUAGUCAGGUCUUGCCAUAACAUCAACUGCUCAAAUGUCUUUGCCAAGACUGACAUUUAUCUGCCACCCAAGUUGGACUACUAGCAUCUGUCAGAUUCCAGACUUUUUGCCUGACUCUGUUAAAUCCCAUGCAACCACCGUUUUCUAGGUGGUAUAAUCCAGACAAGAGAUGUGAUGUCAUGGUGGGGUCCUCAGCCAUUUCAAUUGAAUAAUUGCAAGAAUCGAGUCUGCAAAUUGGUGAGCAAAAGACGAGAGGAAUCUGUGAAGGAGCUUGUCAUUGAUCAUUUUGUCGCCAGAACAUCCUCAGAAUGACGAGUGAUCGAAAUUGCUCGGUAAACACAGAUAUUGCCAGAAUAGUUGAUCCAAGAAGGGUGUUGAACUGUCAAUCAUGUUGUUAUGGAAUUUUUGCCAUUCUGCAUUUUGUUUUGGGGUCACAUCUCAUCCUUGAACGAAACAUGUCUUUCCUUUGUCUUCCUGUUGUUUUGAAAUCAAGAGAUGCUUCUUUCAAAGGGUAUUUUGACAAAAAUAUUUUGUUGAUCAAACUCCAACAUACAAAAUUAAAGCUAGUCAAUCUUGGAGAUUAAAAGUGUUUUGAUUGCGGAAAUGACUUGAUGCUUGAAAAUGACAUGAGGUGACCAAACAAUUUUGAACUCAUACCUCUUGAAACUGAGCCACACAUCAUGUAGCUAAAUUUUAAGUAUGCAUAAUGACAUGUAGUGGAUUCAAUAGUUAUGGACUCGAAUCAUGACUCUUACAAGUUCUAAUCAUUACAAUAGAUGAGGUCAAAAUUUAUCGGUUCUAACCGACCUUGCUUGAAAUGAGAAAAGGCCAUUUUUGUUAUCCUUUCACAUUUCUUGAAAUAUUAUCCCUUGCGGUCCCCAUUUGAGCUUGAUAGAAAAUUUUUUCAAGAAAACCCUGACUAGGAUCACACCCUGCACUGGGGGCAAAUAAGAGAAGACAAAAGUGAAAGAGAAGGCUUAGAACAAAAGUUCAACGUUUGAGAGUGAGUUAAAAGAAAGAAGACCUAGACUGGGGGCGUGUUAGAAAACUAUGAGAAAUGCUAUGUGAAAGCCAUGACCUUUGGCAUCCAUGAUAAAGCCCUGAAGUUAUCAGAUGAUUGAGUUUGGUUAUUCAUCAAAGAAAAAGUUGGAUUUGCAUAUAACCUAUGUUAAGAGAAUUUUGAUAUUUAAGGUUAAUAAGGUUAUAUGUCAUUUCCUCUACAAAGACAACAAUAGAAAAAGAGUUGAUGAAUAGUUUGAUGUUGAUCCUAGGUCUUUGAAACCCUCAAACACCUUUUGAGCUUGUGAAAUCCCUUUCUUUCAUAGCCAUGAACCAUAGCCUACAUUACGUGCUCUUAAAAGCCCUUUUUAAUCAAGUAAACAAUUUGAACCGAUAAAUGGCGCUCUCAAAAACUUGAAGAGCUUUUCCAUAAGAGUCGUGGCUUCAUGGAUUAAGCUACUGGUUAUUAUGCAUGCUGAUAAAAUUGGUGUUAAAAACAAAAAAACAAUCUUUCUUGAUGAAUCCUCAAGUUUUGACUUGAGCCUUUUGUUUCUUGAAAUCCACAGAAGGUCACCUCAUCGCAGGCCAUCAAAAGAUAUACCUAAGAUCAAAGAUUAAAACUGACACAAAGAACCAUGAAAAAAGUCAUUUUAAACUUACAAUGGGUCAUUUCUGUUUUCAAAAUACAAGACAAUCAAAGGACUAUAUUGAAUAGUGUGUGUUGGGUCUUUGACCAAAAAGCUUGAUUUUCAAAAGAUCUUUUCCAAAACUGAUAUCUCUUUGAUUUCAUUUCAACAAUUAGACUCGAAUUGACAUGAUCUUUGAAAUAUGAGAGUUGAUUCCAGAACAAGAAAUAUUGUUAAACAACAAGAACAUCGACCAAAUCCUUGACAAGAAUGACAUCAACAUUUCUCGACACUCCUUGAAAAAUUGACCAUCUGGGGGCAAUACAGUGGAUCCUGAGAAGGAAAACAAGUAGUAUUCAGAUCAGCUGGGGGCAAAGAAAGAAUUGAACGAUGAGUUGGUGAAGUCCAUCAAAGUCAUUCCUGGCGAUCACAAAAGCCAUUUGGUUAUAGACAGGAGAACGAGCAUUCAAAUCAUUGCUGGGGGCAAUAUUGUUCAAAAACAGUUUGUGAUAUAGUGAAUUUCAGCAUCAAUUGAUGAGCAACGCUGCAUUUGAAGGAUAUUUUCAUAUCUUCAUCUUGGUUUAUCAUCUCCAACAUGGCUAUGACUUUUGAAUGAUGUUAUCGUAUAGUUGCAUUUGAAUGAAUGUUGGAAAGAUGCACCCACCAAGACUGACUGUGGGACCAUCUGCUUUGAAGCUCAAAUGCACACUUCACCGCAUGAAUACGGGUGAUGAACAUCAUUGAUGAUGCCACUGCAUUUCCUUUCAUGAUCUGAUUUGACAAGCUGAGAAGAAUCCAUGGAGAAGAGCAUUGAGCUUACAACGAUGAGCCCUUUUACUGCAAGGUAUGAGAUCCAUGUCUAGAUGACUUGACAGUUCCAUGAAGACUGAUGAUACUUUGAAGAGUAUUGUUUCAACUGGGGGGCAAGUUCAUGACCGAUUGACAAUCUAAAAGGAGGUUAAACACCAGAAAACCUCUUGAGGGGUGUUGGCAAAACACAUGCACCAAAUCAAAGGACAAUUCUUGAGAGAAUCUAGGAGAUGGAUGAUUUGUUCAACUCCUUCAUAAUGAAUCGAGCAACACCGCACUUGGGGGCAGAGUCAAGCUUGAUAAACAGCGAGAGCAGUAAUUGUUGUGGACAGCCCAGGAUGUGCACUGCACUUACAACUGAGGGGAUGGCUAGCACAUGAAUGAGUCAAUGCAUCGAAAGAACCAAUAAAGCUUUGGAAUGCAAACAAAGGCACCCUAUGACGAUGGAUCAUCAAAGGGGGGGCCUAUAUUUCACAUCAGGUAAGGAUGCAUGCAUGUCAUCUAACCUCAAAGCAUUGCACAUACUUGUGAUUUGUUACAGAAAGAUCCUCAAUGAAGUCCAGCAAGAUUGUGGACAAAGAAAGAAUCAUUGAGUUGAUAAUAACAGAGAAUCAUGGUUGUGAUCUUGAAACGGGAAGAAGAUGAGAUAAACCUUACUGUUAGGAAAAUCUCAAAGAAAUGAAAAGAUCAACCUUGCAAUCAGGAAGCAUCGAGUUUUCAAACCCUGCGAUCAAGAAUUAUCAAGAAGCACCAAGUUUUUCGGCCCUUCUUCUAUCAUCCCUUCAGGACUUCGCCAGGUAAGUCCCAUUUUUCACACUUGUCACAUCACAUCUUUCAUUUGGGUAGGUCACCCAUAACAAUGAGACCAUUUCACAUUUUUUCUAUCCUCCACAUGGGUAGGUCACCCAUAAUAAUGAGACCGCUUCAUAUUUUUCUCAUCUUCCAUCUGGGUAGGUCACCCAUUACAAUGAGACCGCUUCAUAUUUUUUCUAUCUUCCACCUGGGUAGGUCACCCAUAACAAUGAGACCACUUCAUAUUUUUUCUAUCUUCCACCUGGGUAGGUCACCCAUUAUAACGCGACCACUUCACAUUUUUUCUAUCUUCCACCUGGGUAGGUCACCCAUUAUAAUGAGACCGCACUUCACAUUCUUUCCAUUUGGGUAGGUCACCCAUCAUAAUGAGACCGUUUUCCACAUUAUUUUUCUUGGGUAGGUCACCCAUACAAUGAGACCAUCAUUUUUCUUGGGUUAGUCACCCAUACAAUGAGACCAUCAUUUUUCUUGGGUUCGUCACCCAUACAAUGAGACCAUCAUUUUUAUUGGGUUCGUCACCCAUACAAUGAGACCAUCAUUUUUCUUGGGUUCGUCACCCAUUACAAUGAGACCAUUUGUUCCACAUUCUCUGUUUUGGUUUAAUGAGGUCGCCAGAUGGGAUCUCAUGUAGCUUUGGUUAAAGGGAAUCGCCAGAUGGGAUUUCAGGUUGACCGAGUUACGUAACAUCUUUUAGUUUUGGUUUAAUGAGGUCGCCAGAUGGGAUCUCAUGUAGCUUUGGUUAAAGGGAAUUGCCAGAUGGGAUUUCAGGUUGACCGAGCUACCACACAUUUUUUAAGUUCCAGUUGAAUGAGGUCGCCAGAUGGGAUCUCAUGUAGCUUUGGUUAAAGGGAAUCGCCAGAUGGGAUUUCAGGUUGACCGAGCUACACACAUUUUUUUUAGUUCCAGUUGAAUGAGGUUGCCAGAUGGAAUCUCAUGUAGCUUUGGUUAAAGGGAAUCGCCAGAUGGGAUUUCAGGUUGACCGAGCUACCACAUUUUUUAGUCCCAAUUUAAUGAGGUCGCCAGAUGGGAUCUCAUGUAGCUUUGGUUAAAGGGAAUCGCCAGAUGGGAUUUCAGGUUGACCGAGCUACACACAUUUUUUUAGUUUUGGUUUAAUGAGGUUGCCAGAUGGGAUCUCAUGUUGGUUCUGGUUAAAGGGGAUCGCCGGACGGGAUCUCAGGUUAGCCCAACCACACACGAUAUUGGUUCUGGUUAAAGGGGACCGCCGGACGGGAUCUCAGGUUAGCCCAACCACACACAAGAUAUUGGUUCUGGUUAAAGGGGAUCGCCGGACGGGAUCUCAGGUUAGCCCAACCACACAGGAUUUUGGUUCUGGUUAAAGGGGAUCGCCGGACGGGAUCUCAGGUUAGCCCAACCACACACAGGAUAUUGGUUCUGGUUAAAGGGGAUCGCCGGACGGGAUCUCAGGUUAGCCCAACCACACAGGAUAUUGGUUCUGGUUAAAGGGGAUCGCCGGACGGGAUCUCAGGUUAGCCCAACCACACAGGAUAUUGGUUCUGGUUAAAGGGGAUCGCCGGACGGGAUCUCAGGUUAGCCCAACCACACACGAUGGUUCUGGUUAAAGGGGAUCGCUGGACGGGAUCUCAGGUUAGCCCAACCACGCAGAUUUUGGUUUUGAUUCAAAGAGAUCGCUUGAUGGGAUCUCAGAAAAAAAAGAAGAAAAAAAAAAGGAAAAAGAGCAAGGUCUUUAGAUGAGUGGAUAUUGAGCAAGUUAAGCAGACAAAAAGACAAGUUUUUCUUUACAAAGCUUACUAUGCAAAACAUUGAGGAGUUUUGCUUCGUAAGCAUUGUAAAGAGGGGGCAUCUGUUGCUACCCAAUUUUUGACCCAUGUUUUGAUAAAUUUUCAGAAAAGUUCAAAAAUAGCGAAAAACAUUGAAAAUCCAAAAAAAUACGUUUUUAAUACAUUUGCAUCGUUUUUAGCAUUUUUAGCAUCGUCUCAAAAGAAUUUAAAUUUUCAAAGAUGUUUGGAACGCGUUCAACUUUUAACGCAUUAUUUUUAAAAUCAUUGAUUUUCCUCAUUAAGCCGAUGUUGAUAUUGCUCGUUUUCAAAAAAUACAAAAAAAAAUAAGAAAAAUCAAAAUUUACAAAAAGAAAGAAGUUGAGGGACCAAGUUUGAAGACCUAGCAACAUAUUUGCCUAUAAAUAGAAGUUUUCAACACUUGCAUAAGGGUGGGGGGGCAAUUUUGACAACAUCAUAAAAAAUACAAAAAAACCUAACCCUAAACCCAUUUUUUUUUUCAAGAGGAGCCGCCCCCCACGUUUUUGGUUUUCCUCUUCAGCCGGUUCCCCGUCUUCUUCUCCUGGCCAGCCAAAGACUUCCUCUCCCCCCACAAACCAAGCCACCGCAGCUCUCCUUUUCCUUCCUUCUCCCACACCGCCGGUCAUCUCCCAUAGCCGGCCACUUCCCCUCCAUUCAUCAACACAAAGCAGCCGUCUCCCUUCACUGCCUCCACACUGAUCCCCUCUUCUUCUCUCUCGGCCAACCACCGUUCUUCCCUCUCUCGGCCAACCCAGCUCCAGCAGCAAGACUUACGAACACGGCCGCGCCCACAGACCCGAUCUCCUCAGCACCGCCACCGGGCUCAUCCUUCAACCGACCUCCAACGGCGGCCCGAACACAACGGCAGCAAAAGACAGCCCUCCUCCAGCCGUUCCCCCAGCUUCAGCAGCCGGCAGAAUCGCACUGCCAGUAACCCAUCCUCAGCAAACCCCUUCAGCAACCGGUCCUCCUCCGAUUCAAACCAGUGCAGCAGAUCUAGACCGAGAUCCAGCCGCCAUCAGCGCCGACGAUGUCCAACAACCAGAUGUGCUACAGGGAUGAACUCUUGGGCAACAAACCGUGACAGACCCAAAGGAAUCGGAUCUAAGAAAAAUAAAACUAAAAUCGACUGUGUUGUGCGUUUUCUGUUAUUGCAGGUAGUGGUGUCCCUCAUAGCCGGCAGGGAAGGGAAGAGAAGAAGAAGGCAAUCCCGAUCCACCAGCUUGCUGGUCUUCGCCGGCGGCGGCGCGUGGACCCACGCGCCGCCGCUGUUCAGACGACACCAAUGCUGUGCAGCACUGUUAGCUAGGAUUUCUUUGUGUUUUUCUUGUAACUUUCAGAUGAUGUGUAUAUUUAGAUAUUAUUGUAUUUGAUUUAUUUUGAAUUUUUGUUAUUUGUUUUACAUGUAAAAAUUGUGUAUGUAAAAAACAAAAGAAGAAAAGGAAAGGAAAAGAAAAAGAAAAUAUAGUGAAAGUGUAUGGGUGUGUUUGUAUUUGUUUUAUGGAUGUUUUAUUUUUAUUUAAGAUAAAAUUGUAAAGAUUAAAGAAGAAUUUAAUAUUUUGAUUGGAUCACGGUCAAGAAUUAUUAACUUAUACGUAAGUUGUAUUUCUAAUAUCCGAUGAAAAGACAAUUAUUAAAAUUUCUUUAACACAUCAAAGUCACGAAGCAGCUUACCUCAGGUAGGGUGCGUUAGGGGUGCUAAUACCUUCCCUAACCACAACCAGUCCCUUACCCGUGAAUCUCUGACAAGACCAGUACAUCCGGGUUUCCUAGUAACCCUCAAUUAAAUACUAGGUGGCGACUCCAACGAACCAAUCAAAGCAAAACGAACAACGAAAAAAAUCGCCAGCCGAUGCCGCGCGGAAUUUGUGGCGUGCGACAAAAAGAAUGUGAAGUGACAAGUGUGAAAAGAAUAGGACUUACCUGGCGAAGUCUUAAAGAGAUGACAGGAGAAGGGCUGGGAAACUUGGUGCUUCUUGAUAAUUCUCGAUCGCAGGGUUUGAAAACUCGAUACUUCCUGAUUGUAUGGUUGACCUGAUAAUUCCUGAUCGCAGGGUUGGAAAACUCGGGGCUUCCCAAUUGCAAGGUUGAUCUUUUCAUUUCUUUGAGAUUUUCCUAAUGGUAGGGUUCAUCUCAUCUUUUUUUUAUUCCAUGAUCAAAACCGAUUCUUUGUUAUCAUCAACGCAAUGCUUCUUUUUUUUUUCACAAUCUUGUUGGACCUCAUUGAGGAUUUUUCCUGUAACAAUUCAAAAACAAUUGUGCAAUGUUUUGAGGUUAGAUGACAUGCAUGCAUUCUUACCUGAUUUGUAAUAUAGGUCCCCUUUCUUUGAUGUUUUAUCGUCAUAAGGUGCCUUUGUUUGCAUUCCAAAGCCUUCUUUGUCCUUCUGAUCUACCGGCUUAUCUGUGUGCUAGUCAUCCACUCGGCUGUAAGUGUCUUGCCUAUCCUAGGCUUUCCGCGAUGAUUACUCAUCUCGUUGUUUAUAAAGCAUGAGUGUGCCCCCAAGUGUGGUGUUGCUUGAUUCAUCAUGAAUGAACUUAACUAAUCAUUCAUCUUCUGGAUUAUCUUGAGAAUUGUUCUCUCAUUGAUUGUGCAUAGCAUGCCAACACCCAUCAAGAUUGUCAAUCAGUCAUGAACUUGCCUCAAGUUGAAACAAUACCCUUCAAGUAUAUGCGAUCAUCAACCUUCAUGGAACUGCCAAGUCAUCCAGACAUGCAUCUCGUAGCUUGCAGUACAAGGCUCUUUGUUGAAUGCUCAAUGUUCUUCUCAAGGGAUUCCUCUCAGCUUGUUAAAUCAUAUCGUGAAAAGAAAUGCAUUGGCAUCAUCAAUGAUGUUUAAUUUAUCACCCAUAUUCAUGUAGUGAAGUGCGCAUUUGAUCUUCAAAACAGAUGGUCUCACAGUCAGUCCUGAUGGUGUGCAUCCUUUCAAUGUUCAUUCAAAUGCACUCAUACGAUAACAUCUAUUAGGAGUCAUAGCCAUGUUUCAGAGGGUAACCCAAGAUGAAGAUAUGAAGAUGUCCUUCAAGUGCAGCAUUGUUUUCAAUUGCUGCUGGAGUUCACUAGAUCAUGGAAUGUUUUUGAACAAUAUUGCCCCCGGUGUGAUCUGAAUGUGCUCGUUCAUUGAUUAUCUUUCUAUGAACCACAUUGUCCUUCGUUCACCGAUUCUUCAUUUAAUCAUCUUUCUUUGCCACCCAUCCGGUAGCCGUUCACCCCCUCUCUUUGCCCGAAGACAAACCAGAGCCUCCACAGAGAACCCACACAAACCUUCAGCCUCUCACCUGAUCUCCCUUCUCAUCACCAUUUUCCUUCAUUUUCACCUCUUCAGCUGGCCACACACCCGGCCAUAACUUCCUUCAUCUUCCCCAGCUCACCACCACAAGCCCCGAACCCAACAUUUUCCCUCUGCUCCCUUUUCCUUCUUCCCCUUCAACCAGCAGACCUAAUGCAUGCACCCAACAGCCACACAACACAGGUUCCCCUCCCACUCCAGCCUUCACCUAAAUCUCCAGCAGCGGUAGUUUCUGCCCAUAGCCGACAGACCCAGCUUUCUCUCCUUUAACUAACCUCCAACAACAGCCAACAGAUCCUCCCUUCUCCCCUCAGCCACUACCUUCUUCCUCCAGCUUCGUCCCACCCCAUCACUAGCAGUCCUCGGCUUGCUUCACCGCCGGUAAAAGGAGAAAGAGAGGAGAAGGGAGACGAAGCUUACUGGGGCCUCUGUUUGCCUAACCGAUGACCAUAGAAGAAAGAGGGGUCGAUGAUUUACCCGAUCCAGCGGGUGUCCGACCGCGUGAGUCGCCAGUGAGCCACUCCACACUCCACAGCAAACCGGGAAGAAGAAAGAAGACAGAAAAGAACAGAUCUAAAAAAGGGGAAAUCAGAAUAGAUCUGAACAGCAAUGGAGUAAAAUCAAUUGUUGCGUGUGUUCUCUUUUCUUGUUUUGCAGGUCACCGCCGAUGCAGGAGUGAAGAGGAGACUGUGGUUUUUUUUUCAGAUAAUAUUUCUAAUAUGUGCAGUCACGCAUGAUUUUUUUCUUUUAUUUUAUUCAAUCAAUUUAAUUUGUGUCUCUAUUUCUACUAUCAUUUUCUAGAAUAAAAAAAUUAUUUUAAUAAAUAAAUUUAGUAAACACAGUCGGGUAAAUAUCUCGUGUUUUGAAAUUAAAUAUCUUGAUGUACGUUCAAGGUUUGCGCUCAUGUAGAUACAAUUGCAUUCUUACUUUUCGAAGUUAUAAUUAACUCUAUUUUUUUGUGGUAGAUUCAAUAUGAGGUGGUAAGUUUUUUGAUAAUCAUGUGUGCCUUUGCGUAAAACGUUGUUACUAAUUAAUUGGGGAGGUGAAAUAGCAAAGGAAUUAAAGCACAUAACUGCAGUAAUCAUACUUUUUACAAUAAACCGGCAUCCGUUUACUAUGGUAUAUUACAUGCAUGCACUAAAUUAACCUAACACGCUAUGUUUUGCUUAGAGACCUCUGAAGGUGGAACCUGUCACCGUUAGUCAACCAGCUAGUCUCGGCCUUUUAUCGUCAUCCAUGCAUUUUUAAGCUUAACGUCCACGAUGAAAUUUCAGUGCAGUGUCAUAAUACCUUAGAAAAUGAUACCUCAAUUUUGACUUGUCAACUAUGUUUUGCUUAGAAACCUCUGAAGGUGGAGCCGGUCACCGUGAGUCAACAGCUAGUCUUCAGCUUUACUAUCGUCUUCCAAAUAUUUAAUAAAGCAUAUUAUUAUCUUCCAUCAUAUGUGGAUAGAAUCCACUCUUACUUUUCAAAGUUGGCUUAUUCAAUAAUGCGAAGUGUUUGAUACGUUCGUUAAUUAUCUUGGGCACGGGAGGAAUGGUUCCCUUCGAAUGCUGCUAAAAAUCAUGGUAGCUAUAAGUAAGAGCGGUGGAUAGGAGGAGAGCAUAACCUGUUAGUCACAUAGAUUUCCAAGAUGAAGGUCGCAUGCAUUCUCUUAGCUACCAUCGUCUUCUCUCCCCUGUCCACUUGCACUGCUCGAGUAUUGACCAAGCGAGGUGAGAUUUUAUUUCCAUCAUUAACUUCAGAAAAGCAGUUCAUUUUGUGUGUGUAAUCUCUGCAUGUGUACGCCGGCUUUUUUCAUGCACACAACUUUUUGUUAUAAAACUGAUGAGUCAACCUUUACCUUUACUUCCAGCAUUUUAAUUAACUAGAGAUAAUCAUUUCAUGUUAUAUGUUAUUUAAUUAAUCUGUCGUGGGCUAUCUUAUAAAAAAAUGAUUUUCAAAGGUGGUAACUCCAUUUAAAAGGUAAGAAGAAAACUAGGUCCUUUUCAAAGUCAUUGUAAGACCUAAUAUUGCUUGGGAUUUUCCGAAGGCUUUGUAGAAAAAGCCCUUAAUUCUAUUAAUUAAAAACCUUUCACCAUGUAUAUAUUUUGAUACUAGUUUAAUAAUUGCCAUGAUUCAAUUCGCUGUUAUCUUAACAAGCUAACGUGUGUAUACAUGUGUGCAAAUCUUUCAGCUAUACCCAGCCCAGGUCUUAACCGAGGCAAAGUUCCAUUCAAUUGCGGUAGGGGUAAGCGAUAUUGCGUACCUAGCCAACCACCAAAACGUUGCCCUCCUUACAAGCGUAAUUGUGGGCGGCGCCUUUAAGAUUAGAAGCAAGCAAAGUUGAGUGCUUAAAAGUAUGGAGAGCUUCUGCUGUCUUUAUCAAUAUGUAAAAUGAUGAGAACUAUUUAUGUGCGGAAAAUAAAUAAAAUAUCUCUAAGAACAUUACUAGAGUUCGGGUCCAUGGUAGCUAUGACUUCUAGAUUGUGUACUAGACGACCACUACGUAAAUGCAUGCAAAAACUAAUCAUGAGACUGAGAUCACAAAAUAACACUUGCAAGUAAAACGCAAAAUAAAAUUAUAGCUAAUAAAAUAAAAUAAAGAAAAUAAUUUUUUUUUAAUUAUUAUUAUCUUGGAAACUAAGUAAUGACAUAUUAAACCAGGAAAAUGCGCAAGCAAGCAGUGUAAGUCCUCUAAAUGCACACAAGUAAUCCAAACAUAAUGUUUCAAUUUUCCCACUAAUUUAACCAAGCUCCACAAUUAAUUAAGAGGAUUAGAUCUUCAAUGCUAAACAAGCUCAAAAUUAAGGUAAUUCAAUGUAAAGGCGGGCUAUAUAAUUUAGUUAUGGGCAAGCACAAAGAAUAAUAUCAAUGCUAAAUAUUGGUUAACAAGUUUAAAAGCAUACCAGGAAUGAUGAUUUUCAAUGGGUAAAAAUUCUGACUGUAUGAUGUGGCAGUGAAGGAUUACGUGGCAGCUGACAUGGUAGGAUAUGCUGGCGUGGCAGGAUACGCUGGCGUGGCGGGAUACGUUGCCUUGGCGGGAUCUGAUGACAUGGCAAGAACUGAUGUCGUGGCAGAUGACGUGGUGCUGACGUGGCUAGGGUAAUUAUUUUACCAGCUUCUGUUUCCUUCUCCUCUAUAUCCUUAGGUGUUGUUGCUGGCGGCGCACGCGUGACUGCUGAAGGCGAGGACCACCGCAGUCUGUUGAAGAUGGUGGUUGCCGCCGGUCGGUUCUACUGCUCUGUCGGUCGCUAAUGGUGGGAGGCGAUGAUGGUGUUGUGGACGGUUGCUGGCGCUGAGAAGGACGACACUGGCUGAGGCGCUGCCUUUGCUACUGUAAACCCGAAUCGAUGUUGGCUGUGAUGGGUGUUGUGGGUAGCGGCGUCUGGUGGUUUGUGGUUCUGCUUUGGCUGCUGAAGCCGCAGGUCUGUUGUGGUUCUGUGAAGGCGCCGCUGAAAUGGUUUGGUGUGAUCUAUCAGCGGCGUGGAGAAUGGCCUCCUGUAGGAGAAUCUGUCAUCGUGGGUCUUGGUGUGACCGGCGUUGAGGCAGAGUUUCCGGUCGAUGUUGAUGCAUGCUGUAAUCGACGUCUUCCAGAUUUGUUGAAUAUUGCAGCAGAGGGGAAGAUGAACAGUGUUUUUUGUGAUCAGAACAGUAGGUGUUUUUUUUUUUUGAACAGUGAAUUUUUUUUUUUUAAGAUCAACUGGAUCUAGGGUUUAGCAUAACAUUGUAGGUCAUUUAAUUGUAAGAACAAUUAAAACCCUAGCUCUAAUACCAAAUUUGAUGCGGAACAAUAAAUAAUAAAAUUAGAGCAAGCACAUAAAGAAGCUGUAGAAAAGAAAGAAGCUGAAGAAGAGAAGAAAGGGGAUUGGAGUUAUGCAAAGUCUAUAAUACUUUCAUUAAUCAUCAAAAAUUGUCUCUCAAGAUGACAGAAGAACAUAUAAAUAGUAAACCCUAAAACAUCCCGUUAUUGGGCUCGGCCCAUCAAAUCAAACUAUUUAGCAUAAAUAAUAAAAUAACAAUGAGCAGGCCCAAAUGAGCUAAAUAAAUAAAAUAACAAUGAAAUAGGCCCAAAUAGGCUUAGUCUCCCAACCAAAGCGUGACAGGUUGGGCCAUCCUAUAUCUUCUCUGUCCAUAUACUCGUGUAGUUUAUGGUGGGGUCUGGUGUCCCCACCACCAGCUUUUUUCAUGCACACAACUUUUUGUUAUAAAACUAAUGAGUCAACCUUUACCUUUACUUCCAGCAUUUUAAUUAACUAGAGAUAAUCAUUUCAUGUUAUAUGUUAUUUAAUUAAUCUGUCGUGGGCUAUCUUAUAAAAAAAUGAUUUUCAAAGGUGGUAACUCCAUUUAAAAGGUAAGAAGAAAACUAGGUCCUUUUCAAAGUCAUUGUAAGACCUAAUAUUGCUUGGGAUUUUCCGAAGGCUUUGUAGAAAAAGCCCUUAAUUCUAUUAAUUAAAAACUUUCACCAUUUAUUUUGAUACUAGUUUAAUAAUUGCCAUGAUUCAAUUCGCUGUUAUCUUAACAAGCUAACGUUUAUAUAUAUACGUGUGUGGAAAUCUUUCAGCUGUACACAGCCCACCUCUUAACCCUGGCAAAGUUCCAUUCAAUUGCGGUAGGGGUCAACGAUAUUGCGUACCUAGCCAACCACCAACAUCAACACCAUGUCUUCCUUACAAGCGUAAUUGUGGGCGGCGCCUUUAAGAUUAGAAGCAAGCAAAGUUGAGUGCUUAGAAGUAUGGAGAGCUUCUGCUGUCUUUAUCAAUAUGUAAAAUGAUGAGAACUAUUUAUGUGCGGAAAAUAAAUAAAGUUGAGUAUAUAAGGAUCCAGCUAGGCGAUAUUUAUGGAGUAACGUCGCCUACAAGUCUACAAUGGUACUAAGGAGGCCAAAAUUAACGUGGCUGGUAAUAUUAAGUAUAAAACUAAAAUGUAUGAUUUUUUUUUUCUGUGUAUUCAUAUAUUAUUACGGAUUAACUGUGUAAAAUCUUUAGUUUUUUUUUUCAAUUUGAUUCUUAAUUUUGUUUUUGAGAUUUAGUCCUGAUUGUGUAAAAUCUUUUUAAUUAGGUGGUUUUUUACCUUUAUACUUCAUGAAAAAAUAUAUAUAUAUAAACUCGGAUUGAUUUUUUGUUUUUGGUUGAUUUUGGUUUUUGAGAUAGUUUUUUGAAGUCAAUGAUAGAUUUAUCACGGUUCCUAAAAUAUUUUAUAGGUAUUUUAAGUAAACAAUUUAAAAAUGAAUUUUUAAAUCAAAAAAGUUAAGCCCUGAUUUUUCAGCCAUUGUGGUGGCUGAAAUAUAAACAAAUCAAACGACUUGUUCUCUGAUUUUUUUUUCAAAAAAAAUAGGACGAAUGACAUGCUACAAAAGAAAUAAGAGUCCAAUCACGGGGGCUUGCCAAUGCAGGCUCACUUGGGAAACCUAACAAAAUGGGCAAGGCGUCCGAACCCAACAAAGCUUGGCCUUUGUUUUUUUCUUGUAAAUUAUUAUUUCUUAAUUUUUUUAAAUGAAUGAUUUGUUUUGUUUUUUUCUCUAAUUUUUUUAUUUUUCAGAUUAUAUUUAUAAUAUGUGCAACCGUGCAUCGUGUUUUUUUCCCCUUUUAUUCUAUUCAAUAAAUUUAAUUUGUGUUUCCAUUUUUAUUAUUAUUUUCUUUAAUAAAAAAUUAUAAUAUCUUGAUGUAAACCUAAAUCUUAAUUUUCAAAGCUUUAUAAUUUUCGAAGCUUUAUACCUUAGAAAAUGAUACCUCAAUUUUGUACUUAUGAACUACGUUUUGCUUGGAAACCUCUGAAGGUGGAGCCUGUCACCGUGAGUCAACAACUAGUUUUCAGCUUUACUAAUGCUGAGUAUCUUCUUCCAUAUAUUAUUAAAGCAUAUUAUUAUCUUCCAUCAUAUGUGGAUAGAAUCCACUCUUACUUUUCAAAGGUGGCUUAGUCAAUAAUGUGAAGUAUUUGAUACGUUCGUUAAUUAUCUUGGGCACGGGAGGAAUAGUUCUCUUCAAGAAUAGUUCCCUUCGAAUGCUGCUAAAAAUCAUGGUGGCUAUAAGUAAGAGCGUUGGAUAGGACUUAGGAGGAGAGCAUAACCAUGUUAGUCACAUAUAUUUCCAAGAUGAAGGCCUUUCUUAUCGCAUGCAUUCUCUUAGCUACCAUCGUCUUCUCUCCCCUAUCCACUUGCACUGCUCGAGAAUUGGCCGAGCGAGGUGAGAUUUUAUCUCCAUCAUUAACUUCAGAAAAGCAGUUCAUUUUGUGUGUAAUCUCUGUGUACGCCGGCUUUUUUCAUGCACACAACUUUUUGUUAUAAAACUGAUGACUCAACCUUUACUUUUACUUCCAGCAUUUUAAUUAACUUAAGAUAAUCAUUUCAUGUUGUAUGUUAUUUAAUUAAUCUGUCGUGGGCUAUCUUAUAAAAAAAAAUGAUUUUCAAAGGUGGUAACUCCAUUUAAAAGGUAAGAAGAAAAUUAACUAGGUCUUUUUCAAAGUCAUUGUAAGACCUAAUAUUGCUUGGGAUUUUCCAAAGGCUUUGUAGAAAAAGCCCUUAAUUCUAUUAAUUAAAAACCUUUCACCUGUAUUUUGAUACUUGUUUAAUAAUUGCCAUGAUUCAAUUCGCUGUUAUCUUAACAAGCUAACGUGUGUAUACAUGUGUGCAAAUCUUUCAGCUAUACCCAGCCCAGGUCUUAACCGAGGCAAAGUUCCAUUCAAUUGCGGUAGGGGUCAACGAUAUUGCGUACCUAGCCAACCACCAACAUCAACACCAUGUCUUCCUUACAAGCGUGAUUGUGGGCGGCGCCUUUAAGAUUAGAAGCAAGCAAAGUUGAGUGCUUAGAAGUAUGGAGAGCUUCUGCUGUCUUUAUCAAUAUGUAAAAUGAUGAGAACUAUUUAUGUGAGAAAAAUAAAUAAAGUUCUCCAGUGGAUUAGAAGAAGCAAGCAAGGUUGUGUGCUUAAAAAGUAUGGACGGCUCAUAGUGUCUUUAUCAAUAUGUAAAAUGUUAUGUUGAUAUGGGAACUAUUUAUGUGAGAAAAAUAAAUGAAGUUCUUAGUGAGUUUCAUGGUAUCUUUUGAGAAUUAUUAUAUGAAGUUUAAUUAUGC